GAGAAGCAUUCGUUUGAUUUAUCGCGCGAACGGGGGCCAACAUUUACCCCAGUAAAUGCUUCUUAUAUUGUCGGGAGUGAAUGAAUGGUGGCCGAUGUGGUUUACCCACUUGUAGUAUGAAGAAAGAGUUUUUUUCUCCUUUCUUAGCUCUAGCGAAAUUCACACACACGCAUAGAAACAGAGAUCGAGCCGCCUGCGAUAUGUGGGGGAAAAAUGCGCGCGUUUGUUUUUUAUUCCUUUUACAGCUUUUCACGGCAGGUGUCCUUCGUUCACAGGGUCGUUUCAGUGUUUUCAGGGUUCUCUUUCAGGUGAACGGGAGGGUAAAGGGUUUUAUACGGGACUGUUUGGUGUAUAGUCUUAAUAAGGAAAAUGGCAAUUCAGAGGUUUCAUGACAGUAACAAACUUACCCCGUAUAAAAUCUCUUUAGAGAAGACAGUUCUUUGCCCUCCCGUGAGUGUUUUCUUCCAGGAACCAUUUUUUUCCAGGGUUCUUUUUCAGCUAAAACGAUUUUUUUUGAAUUAGUUUCUUUGUAAAACGUUAGGGUUCGUCAGAACUUAGAAGUGAGAGUAAAACACUGUUAGAUGAAUUAAAUUGAAUAUCACGAAAAUGCAACCGUAAUUAUGUACCAAGAAGAUUACUAAGUAAAAAUGGCUGAAAUGUUGUUGAAUGUGUCUACAUAGAGGGAGUUGAGUUUAUAUUCCAACCAACAGGCUCCAAACUUCUUUCUUUCCAACUCUUCCAUUGGACUGACAUUGCCUCGACUGUCUUGGCUCAAAUAACUUUGCACUGAUGAGGCCUAAUGAUCCGAAACUUUCAGGAUCAGUAGUCAAUAUACCAAGCUAGCUCUCCUAUAAAUUUCGCUAUUCUAGCUUAAUUAGUUUUUGAUUUAUUUAAGCUUAAACUUCAAAAAGCAAAAUUAAUAAAGUAUAGAAAAAAAUUAAUUAAGAAAGUAUAGGUGCCUCGACUGCCUUGGCUUAAAUAACUUUGCACUGAUGAGGCCUAAUGAUCCGAAACUUUCAGGAUCAGUAGUCAAUAUACCAAGCUAGCUCUCCUAUAAAUUUCGCUAUUCUAGCUUAAUUAGUUUCUGAUUUAUUCAAGCUUAAACUUCUUCAUCAAUUUAAAUUAAAUAUGGAAAAAAAUAAUUAAAAAAGUACAGGUGCCUCGACUGCCUUGGCUUAAAUAACUUUGCACUGAUGAGGCCUAAUGAUCCGAAACUUUCAGGAUCAGUAGUCAAUAUACCAAGCUAGCUCUCCUAUAAAUUUCGCUAUUCUAGCUUAAUUAGUUUCUGAUUUAUUCAAGCUUAAACUUCUUCAUCAAUUUAAAUUAAAUAUGGAAAAAAAUAAUUAAAAAAGUACAGGUGCCUCGACUGCCUUGGCUCAAAUAACUUUGCACUGAUGAGGCCUAAUGAUCCGAAACUUUCAGGAUCAGUAGUCAAUGUAUCAAGCUAGCUCUCCUAUAAAUUUCGCUAUUCUAGCUUAAUUAGUUUUUGAUUUAUUUAAGCUUAAACUUCUUCAUUAAUUUAAAUUAAAUUUGGAAAAAAAUCGUUGAAAAAGUUCAGGUGCCUCGACUGCCUUGGCUUAAAUAACUUUGCACUGAUGAGGCCUAAUGAUCCGAAACUUUCAGGAUCAAUAGUCAAUGUAUCAAGCUAGCUUUCCUAUAAAUUUCAUUUUUCUAGCUUAAUUAGUUUUUGAUUUAUUUAAGCUUAAACUUCAAAAAGCAAAAUUAAUAAAGUAUAGAAAAAAAUUAAUUAAGAAAGUAUAGGUGCCUUGACUGCCUUGGCUCAAACAACUUUGCACUGAUGAGGCCUAAUGAUCCGAAACUUUCAGGAUCAAUAGUCAAUGUAUCAAGCUAGCUUUCCUAUAAAUUUCAUUUUUCUAGCUUAAUUAGUUUUUUAUUUAUUCAAGCUUAAACUUCAAAAAGUAAAAUUAAUAAAGUAUAGAAAAAAAUUAAUUAAGAAAGUAUAGGUGCCUCGACUGCCUUGGCUCAAAUAACUUUGCACUGAUGAGGCCUAAUGAUCCGAAACUUUCGGGAUCAAUAGUCAAUGUAUCAAGCUAGCUCUCCUAUAAAUUUCGCUAUUCUAGCUUAAUUAGUUUUUGAUUUAUUUAAGCUUAAACUUCUUCAUUAAUUUAAAUUAAAUUUAGAAAAAAAUCGUUGAAAAAGUACAAGUGCCUCGACUGCCUUGGCUUAAAUAACUUUGCACUGAUGAGGCCUAAUGAUCCGAAACUUUCAGGAUCAGUAGUCAAUAUACCAAGCUAGCUCUCCUAUAAAUUUCGCUAUUCUAGCUUAAUUAGUUUCUGAUUUAUUCAAGCUUAAACUUCUUCAUCAAUUUAAAUUAAAUAUGGAAAAAAAUAAUUAAAAAAGUACAGGUGCCUCGACUGCCUUGGCUUAAAUAACUUUGCACUGAUGAGGCCUAAUGAUCCGAAACUUUCAGGAUCAGUAGUCAAUAUACCAAGCUAGCUCUCCUAUAAAUUUCGCUAUUCUAGCUUAAUUAGUUUCUGAUUUAUUUAAGCUUAAACUUCUUCAUCAAUUUAAAUUAAAUAUGGAAAAAAAUAAUUAAAAAAGUACAGGUGCCUCGACUGCCUUGGCUCAAAUAACUUUGCACUGAUGAGGCCUAAUGAUCCGAAACUUUCAGGAUCAAUAGUCAAUGUAUCAAGCUAGCUCUCCUAUAAAUUUCGCUAUUCUAGCUUAAUUAGUUUUUGAUUUAUUUAAGCUUAAACUUCAAAAAGCAAAAUUAAUAAAGUAUAGAAAAAAAUUAAUUAAGAAAGUAUAGGUGCCUUGACUGCCUUGGCUCAAACAACUUUGCACUGAUGAGGCCUAAUGAUCCGAAACUUUUACGAUUAGUAGUCAAUAUACCAAGCUAGCUUUCCUAUAAAUUUCAUUUUUCUAGCUUAAUUAGUUUUUUAUUUAUUCAAGCUUAAACUUCAAAAAGUAAAAUUAAUAAAUUACAGAAAAAAUUAAUUAAGAAAGUAUAGGUGCCUCGACUGCCUUGGCUCAAAUAACUUUGCACUGAUGAGGCCUAAUGAUCCGAAACUUUCGGGAUCAAUAGUCAAUGUAUCAAGCUAGCUCUCCUAUAAAUUUCAUUUAUUUAGCUUAAUUAAUUUUUGAUUUAUUUAAAUUUGAAAAAAGUAAUUUUUUUUUUAAUUGAAUUAUUUUCUGCAAAAAAAACGUUUUUCAUUAGGCCUACCUUUGCUUUAGACCCUUUAAUAGAGUCAUGAAGUAAUAUUCUAAGCGAUAUUUAAUCAUUUCAUUAAAUAAAUAAAUAAAUGUUUUAGGCAUUUUUUUAAGCCUGACCUUAAUCACAGCCACUCAAGCGUGAAAAGUUGCACAGAUCCGGCCUUAAAAUUUAUUUGUAUUUAAAACUUCCUUAUUGGGUUUAGUUUUAUUAAGUUGGAAAUUCAGGAUAGUUGAUAGCAAGAUAAUAUUUAAUUUAAAUAUAAAUAAGAUUUAAUUACGUUAAAUGAGUUUAACCAGAAAUUUUAAUUUCAUAAGUUUAGUUUUUAGCGCCAUCAGUCCCUUAUAACAAGUCAAGUCUCUUUGCUUUGCAAUAUCUCAAGUUGGAAUAAUGUAUUUACUACUGACUACUGUUAACCCACUGCAUAGCUUUCAUCAAAUAGUAUUAAACUUAUUGGUAAAAUUGGUAUACUAAGGGUAUACGUGUAUCUGGGAAAAAUAUGCGCUCCCUUUUUUACAUUAGGAAAUACGCUAUGAACAAUGCAACAUUUUUAAAUUAUUACAACAGAUACCGCAAGAUUUACAGAAACUCAAUAAAUAAAUAAUAUAAAUGUGGGUGUUCCGCAAGGAUCAGUACUUGGUCCUCUACUUUUUCUCAUUUAUGUGAACGAUCUGCCACAACUGCAGGUAACUGGCAAAUUUACAUUGUUUGCCGAUGAUAAAGUCCAGUGCAAUGAUAUAUUAGAAUGGUCACCCGUCAAAACACCAUGCAGCAUUCCAUCUGCCAAACAAUGUCAUCCACCUUCUAUUUACCUUGUUUGACAAGUAAAAUGCUGGUGUUUUGACGGGUGACCAUUCUAAUAUAUCGUUGCACUGGACUUUACCAUCUUCCUCUGGCACGACUCUGAUGUUUCUCAAAUUGAGGCAGUGCAAAUACGUGCAGAUUUGUUAAAAAUAAAAGACUGGUGUGAUGCAAAUUUUUUGACAUUUAAUGUUUCCAAAACAAAUAUCCUUAAUUUUAAAUGUAAUACAAAUGAUAUAUGUUUGAAUAGUGACGCCAUCACCAUGCCACCGUUCAGUAAGUUUUUGGGUCUUUCCAUAGACAAGUUCCUUAAAUUUGAAGACCUGUAUGUAGAAAAGUCUCAUCAGGUUGCUACGCCCUAAGGGUUAUUGCCACCAGUCUUAAUUUCUCCAUCGCCAGAUCUGCAUACUUCGCGAUUAUCGAGUCGCACCUUCGAUAUGGAAUUUGCUUUUGGGGUUCAUGUUCAAAUUCACUUUUUAGUUCAGUGUUUGUACUCCAGAAACUAUGUGGGGCCAAGCCUCGUGACUCAAGUCACCCGCUUUUUCUAAGCCCUGUGUUAUAUAUUUCUUGCUAGUAAAGCGUACUAUAGUUUAGGGCGAUUUUUUAAUGAUUAGCAUUUAAGUAUUUUUCCAAAUUUUAUUUUAUUUUAAAUUAGUUUCUCGUUUUUAUUCCUUUAAUGUACAAUCUAUUGGCUUUGUCUACAACUUCUAUGUUCAUAUUGACAAUAAAGCAUUUUUUUUUUGUUUGAGUGUGACUUUGAAAGGCUCUGCCGCAACAACAACCGUUCUUCAUUUUAUAGGAACUCUUUUAACAUGGCUAAUUAAAAAAUUUUGUUGGACAUCUUUUGUGGAUUCCCGAUAUUCCUUUGAACGGUUUUAUUCAAGUUUUCUAUUGUUUGCUUCCAAAUGUUGCUCAUCUUCUUCUGAAGAUUAUAUUUAAAAAUUUUGUUACCAUCUUCAGCAUCCAAAUUUCCCGUUAUGCUUUUAAAAAAUAGAGCCUAAACCAAAUUAUAUUGGUGAAACUGUAUAUUUUCGACUUUCAAAAUAUAUAUACUUAAUAAUUUGUUACGUUAAACUGUUCAUGUAGGUGACUAAAUUCGGUGUAAAAAGUAAACAAAGGUGUAAUCUGUACGCUGUAGUUUUGUAGCGCCCAGGUUUAUGGGCAGGAUCCUACCGACUGCGCCAAUUAUAUAGUGAUGCCAAUAAACUAUUUUUAACACAAUUUAUAUAAAAAGGUUAAAUCGGGUAAAAUGCUGAAACGUUAAAUAUGUGGCAAUAUAUAUGGUUACUAUUUGGAUUUAUAAGGAAUAUGAUAUUAUAACUUAUAUACAAGUCCGUCGUUCUUGCACGUAAACGACGACUAUUAGAUAUCCUCCAUGAAUAUGGGACAUUAGGAUAUUUAAUACAUAUCGGCUAAGUUAUCCAGUGAGUACUGGGCUCUCCAUUAGCCAUCUAUUGGUUAUUAUGUAUUAUUUGGGUACAAAGUCUUUAUUUCAGUACCUGAGUAAGCUGCAAUUUAAAUCGUCGAAAAAUCGCACCGAAGUUAAUAGUGUUUCAUUCCUACCUACUAAGUUCCGACGAACCCUAACGUUUUACAAAGAAAUUAAUUUAAUGAGACGAAACUGACUAUAAUUUUAAAUUAAUGUAACUUAUCCAAUUUAAAAAAGCAACAAC
rnacentral:lncRNA from 1 species